AUAGGGAAUAGUGCUCCAUUUGGUGAGUAGUUCAUCUGGUUGUAGGUAGUGCACUACAUAGGGAAUAGUGCUCCAUUUGGUGAGUAGUUCAUCUGGUUGUAGGUAGUGCACUACAUAGGGAAUAGUGCUCCAUUUGGUGAGUAGUUCAUCUGGUUGUAGGUAGUGCACUACAUAGGGAAUAGUGCUCCAUUUGGUGAGUAGUUCAUCUGGUUGUAGGUAGUGCACUACAUAGGGAAUAGUGCUCCAUUUGGUGAGUAGUUCAUCUGGUUGUAGGUAGUGUAAAUACAAUAUAUAUAAUGUCCUUUUUUCCCCACAGCAGAAGAAUGGAUGUUUAAAAAAAAACUUGCAUCUUGAGCUGCUUUUCUAUUUAAUAUAUAUUUAAAAUGUUGUGCUUGUGUCUUUCUGUUGAUUUGUUGUCUUCUAUGUGGACAGGGACAGGAAAGAGACCUUUUUAUUUGGUUUGUUAAAUACGUCUUUUCA